rnacentral:rRNA from 1 species
UACGUAGGUGGCAAGCGUUGUCCGGAUUUACUGGGCGUAAAGCGCGCGCAGGCGGGUUGGUCAGUCUGAGGUGAAAUCUCACGGCUUAACUGUGAGAGGUCCUUAGAUACUGCCAAUCUUGAGGGGCUCAGAGGAGAGUGGAAUUCCGGGUGUAGUGGUGGAAUGCGUAGAUAUCCGGAGGAACACCAGUGGCGAAAGCGACUCUCUGGGGGCAACCUGACGCUGAGGCGCGAAAGCGUGGGGAGCGAACCGG